rnacentral:rRNA from 1 species
CCUACGCGAGGCAGCAGUGAGGAAUAUUGGUCAAUGGGCGCGAGCCUGAACCAGCCAAGUAGCGUGAAGGAUGACUGCCCUACGGGUUGUCAACUUCUUUUAUAAAGGAAUAAAGUGAGGCACGUGUGCCUUUUUGUAUGUACUUUAUGAAUAAGGAUCGGCUAACUCCGUGCCAGCAGCCGCGGUAAUACGGGGGAUCCGAGCGUUAUCCGGUAUUAUUGGGUUUAAAGGGAGCGUCGAUGGGUUGUUAAGUCAGUUGUGAAAGUUUGCGGCUCAAACGGAAAAUUGCAAUUGAUACUGGCAGUCUUGAGUACAGGUGAGGUAGGCGGAAUUCGUGGUGUAGCGGUGAAAUGCUUAGAUAUCACGAAGAACUCCGAUUGCGAAGGCAGCUUACUAAACUGCCACUGACAUUGAUGCUCGAAAGUGUGGGUAUCAAACAGGAUUAGAUACCCCAGUAGUC